rnacentral:rRNA from 3 species
UGGUAAUGCCGGAUGCUCCAGUUGAUCGCAUGGUCUUCUGGGAAAGCUUUCGCGGUAUGGGAUGGGGUCGCGUCCUAUCAGCUUGACGGCGGGGUAACGGCCCACCGUGGCUUCGACGGGUAGCCGGCCUGAGAGGGCGACCGGCCACAUUGGGACUGAGAUACGGCCCAGACUCCUACGGGAGGCAGCAGUGGGGAAUAUUGCACAAUGGGCGCAAGCCUGAUGCAGCGACGCCGCGUGAGGGAUGGAGGCCUUCGGGUUGUAAACCUCUUUUAUCGGGGAGCAAGCGAGAGUGAGUUUACCCGUUGAAUAAGCACCGGCUAACUACGUGCCAGCAGCCGCGGUAAUACGUAGGGUGCAAGCGUUAUCCGGAAUUAUUGGGCGUAAAGGGCUCGUAGGCGGUUCGUCGCGUCCGGUGUGAAAGUCCAUCGCUUAACGGUGGAUCCGCGCCGGGUACGGGCGGGCUUGAGUGCGGUAGGGGAGACUGGAAUUCCCGGUGUAACGGUGGAAUGUGUAGAUAUC